CCUGUGGAGGUCCAUCCCAGCUCCAUCAGGAGUCCCCCCUCCUGUGAGCUGAAUUGGAGAGUGACUACCUGCCUCCUAACAGCAUUUCCUUUUUUCUUUUUCUUUUCUUUUUCUCUUUUUUUACAAGGAGAAUUAUUUUUGGCUCUGUUUUUCCCCUCCUCAUCUUUACUGGUUAUUCUGGAGCCAAAAAAAUCCCCUUAGGAAAGGAGAAAGGGGUUUAUAAAGGUUCAAAAUGAAUGGCUCACACUGAAAAAACUUUAAAGAAAUGGUCUUAAAAUACGUUUUAUGGGUGUAUUUAAAACCCAUUUUCUCAGAAAUUCCUUCACCCUGCAACUCUUUGGACUUCAUAAGUUGCUACUGCCCAAAUUAGGGGUGAUGUAAGUUACUAUUUGGCUGUUAUAAAGGCCUGUGUGUAGAGUUGCUAUAUUAAUUAGUGAAGGUUGUAAAAGUUCAAUAGUGAAGUUUUCUCAUGUUUGCAUUCAUUUUGGGUUACAUUUUUAUCAUGUAAGUACUGAGUCAUGAGUGCAGAAUCAUCAAGGAUAUUCCAGAGCAGUGGAGCGCAGAGGCGAGGCAUCUCAGAGACCUCACAUGAACUGACAUUUGUACCGGGCUGUGAUAUUUUUCACCCACUUUGGAUCAACAGAAACAGGACAGAGAUCUGAAAAGAAAGGCGCCGGUAGUGUAGCGAUAGAGGCAUCCCUGGAGAACUGACCCUGUCUCAACCCCCUGUUUCAACUCAUGCAAAGACUGUGGCAGAAAACCGAGGCACUGGCCAGCCCAGGCAGGAGGGUAAAGAGGAGGGCAGAGGUCCCGCUGAUGGGCACAAGAAAGUGCAGGAAGAGGACAAUGUGGGGAGGGUGGGGCUUGGCAUCAGUGUUCACCCAUCAUGCCAUUCCACUCCCAGGACACUCGACUGUGCAAAGCACUGUUCCAACACUGUAAUUUGGACUAAAAAUAUUGGACUUUCUUUCCUCCUUCCUUUUUUCUAAAUACUGUGGCCACUUUUUUCAAUCCUGUGGCUCACCAGAAUGGUCGUUCGCCCCUAUCAAAGCGUACAUGUGCAGGACCUCUCGCUGACUCGUGCCCAUAGUUGUCUUGGUUGCAUGUUAACAGCAGGAUAUGUGAUUAAUAAAACUGAAUUAAAAUGUCCUGUUCGAAAUAUUAAAGAAGCCGUGUUUUAUCUGCCAUGUGUUUUCUUUCCAAAAUCAUUGUUAGCUCAGGCUCAUCUUGUGGUUAAUGUUGCAAUUACUGUUUCUAAAGUGCAAUGUUUGGGUAGCUGUAAUCCACCUUAGGACAUUUGCUGCUUCUGCCAUGAAUCACAGAAUGUUUUUCAGCACACACCUACAUUUAUUUUACCACUUAAAAAAGUGAUGCAAUAGGAACUGAAUUCCAAGGAAAAUCUCAUAUAAAGUAAACUGUACACUGAGAAUGUCUGAAAUUGUGUAUUUUGUAUUCACUCUUGAAAAACAUAAAAUAAUCUCCUGGAGUCUCUA